UAUUGGGGUCCCUAUUUUUUUAAGGUGGUCAUAAAAUUUAAUUGCUCUCUUUUGAACUUUAAUAAUUAGUGGGUAUUGUGUGAAUUUUGCUCUGCACACAUUG